UGAACGCUAGCGGCAGGCUUAACACAUGCAAGUCGAGGGGCAUCGGGAGUAGCAAUACUUGCCGGCGACCGGCGCAAGGGUGCGUAACGCGUGAGCAACAUGCCCGUAUCAGGGGGAUAAUCCAUGGAAACGUGGUCUAAUACCCCAUAGUAAUUAUGUAAGGCAUCUUAUAUAAUUUAAAGCUUUGGUGGAUACGGAUUGGCUCGCGUGACAUUAGCUGGAUGGUAAGGUAACGGCUUACCAUGGCUACGAUGUCUAGGGGUUCUGAGAGGAAGGUCCCCCACACUGGAACUGAGACACGGUCCAGACUCCUACGGGAGGCAGCAGUGAGGAAUAUUGGACAAUGGAUGGAAAUCUGAUCCAGCCAUGCCGCGUGCAGGAAGAACCGGCCCUAUGGGUUGUAAACUGCUUUUGUAUGGGAGCAAUAAGGGCUACGUGUAGUCCGAUGAGAGUACCAUACGAAUAAGCACCGGCUAACUCCGUGCCAGCAGCAGC
rnacentral:rRNA from 1 species